rnacentral:rRNA from 1 species
AUCAGCUUGUUGGUGAGGUAAUGGCUCACCAAGGCGACGACGGGUAGCCGGCCUGAGAGGGCGACCGGCCACACUGGGACUGAGACACGGCCCAGACUCCUACGGGAGGCAGCAGUGGGGAAUAUUGGGCAAUGGAGGAAACUCUGAUGCAGCGAUGCCGCGUGAGUGAAGAAGGCCCUUGGGUUGUAAAGCUCUUUCGUCGGGGAAGAAAAUGACUGUACCCGAAUAAGAAGGUCCGGCUAACUUCGUGCCAGCAGCCGCGGUAAUACGAAGGGACCUAGCGUAGUUCGGAAUUACUGGGCUUAAAGAGUUCGUAGGUGGUUGAAAAAGUUAGUGGUGAAAUCCCAGAGCUUAACUCUGGAACUGCCAUUAAAACUUUUCAGCUAGAGUAUGAUAGAGGAAAGCAGAAUUUCUAGUGUAGAGGUGAAAUUCGUAGAUAUUAGAAAGAAUACCAAUUGCGAAGGCAGCUUUCUGGAUCAUUACUGACACUGAGGAACGAAAGCAUGGGUAGCGAAGAGGAUUAGAUACCCUCGUAGUCCAUGCCGUAAACGAUGUGUGUUAGACGUUGGAAAUUUAUUUUCAGUGUCGCAGCGAAAGCGAUAAACACACCGCCUGGGGAGUACGACCGCAAGGUUAAAACUCAAAUGAAUUGACGGGGACCCGCACAAGUAGUGGAGCAUGUGGUUUAAUUCGAAGAUACGCGCAGAACCUUACCAACACUUGACAUGUUCGUCGCGACUCUAAGAGAUUAGAGUUUUCGGUUCGGCCGGACGAAACACAGGUGCUGCAUGGCUGUCGUCAGCUCGUGUCGUGAGAUGUUGGGUUAAGUCCCGCAACGAGCGCAACCCUCACUUUUAGUUGCCAUCAUUAAGUUGGGCACUCUGAAAGAACUGCCAGUGAUAAGCUGGAGGAAGGUGGGGAUGACGUCAAGUCCUCAUGGCCCUUACGUGUUGGGCUACACACGUGCUACAAUGGUAUCUACAACAGGAAGCAAGACUGCGAGGUCAAGCAAAUCCUUAAAAGAUACCUCAGUUCGGAUUGCACUCUGCAACUCGAGUGCAUGAAGCUGGAAUUACUAGUAAUCGUGGAUCAGCGUGCCACGGUGAAUGCGUUCCCGGGUCUUGUACACACCGCCCGUCACACCAUGGGAGUUGGUUCUACCUUAAGGCAAGGUUUCAAACCCUUGACCACGGUAUAGUCAGCGACUGGGGUGAAGUCGUAACAAGGUAACCGUA